ensembl:lncRNA
CUCUAUCAUCCUGGAUUCGAGAGAUGUUGGAGAGAACAAAUCCAAGGUCGGCUGGAGAACUUGGAAGACUGGAGACACAAGGGCCAAGUCUCAGUGUUUGAUUCUUACACUGAACAUGUUUAAUUAAAACAAUAAAGUUACUGAAGAAGAUUUCACACACAGUUGUGAUCAAUCUAGACAAAUGCUCGUGCUAUGCAUUUAGUAGAAGUUAUAUGGAGGAAGCUUCCUGAUGUGUUCAGUGAAGGAGGACAGUUUAGGUUGGGUUUUCUGACACCUGAGAACCAGUGGCUUUGAUGCUGCAUACCCCAAAACUUUGGAAAUGGGACAACAGAGAGCCUGUGAAGAAAGGCACCAUCCAAGGUCACACAGAGAGGCAGCUCUGAAGGUCAGGUCUUCUGAUGUCCAUGUAGCCACUUAGUCUGCUGGUCUUUUGUUCUUGGGCUGGUUUUCCCCCCAUGGCAGGAAUGAAAGCUGAGCUGGAACAUUAACAAGUGUAAUUACGGUAAAGACACCUGCCCACCUACCUGCCCCAAGGGUGAUGGUGACCAUUUGGGGUGAUAGUCAAGGGUGGUCUCUAUUCUCAGAAGAUUUUUGUGCCUUUUAUAGGUUAGGAGGGAUCCCAAGACAUGUCAAGAAAAGCACUGAUCACAUAGCCUGCACUGCAUAGCCCUGAAAACCCAAGUAGCUCACCUGCUUUCUCCAUUGAGGUUUACUUUUUAACUCUGUAAACAGCUAUCAUUCAGCCAUUCAACCAGCACUUGUGAUUUUGGUAAUUUUACUGAAAAGCAUUAAUUGAGGGCCUCCUCUGUGUUACUCACUAGUUUAGGGGCACGGAUUCAGACAGAUUCAGUAGUCAACAAGAUAGCCUCAGUGACUGUCCUCAUGGAACUUACGCUUUAGUGUGGGCAUGAAAAUAAUCAGAGAAACACAGACUUAGGCACUGUGAAAGUUCUUAUGAAGGAUACAUACCCAGAGCUAUGAAAGCAUAUAAAGAGGACCAUGUCAUCUGCUGAGGCAAGGGAAGUGCUGAGCAGAGAUGGGCAAAAGGAGCAGGCAUUAGCUAAGCAGAAUGGGGACCAGUAUUUUGAAUUUGAAUAUUGGACAAAGCUUGGGUAAAGUUAGGGGGCAAGACUUUGAAUUCAUUCAUGCCAGUGUUAUUUUGGGAGUACCAUGUGCCAAUAUUCCUCUCUUUUGCUAUUUUAGGUCCCUUUAUUCCUGCCCCAUCAGAUUCUCAGAGCUCAUGAGUCCUUGAGUCAGUUAUAUAACCUAUCUUCAACCUAGGAUCCUUGGUGCUCUGGCCUCACGUCUCCGCAGAUUCAGAUCCGCUGCAGGCUAACGUCUAGUUAGUCACGCUUUUGUGUAUGAGGUUAAGAAAUCCCACUAUCAUAACCAAGCCUUCUCUUCUAGAGAAGGAUACGUAUUGCCUCUAUUCCUCUUCAGAAAAGUCUCAACUCAAUUUCCCUUUCGUUUGUCUGAAGAAUAUGGCUGCAGUGAAGUUUGCUGCCACUAGGGGGCAGGAGCGCCAAAGCAAAGGACUAAGUUCCGUGAAGAAAACAAACGAAGCCCGCAGGUAACAUGCUUAACAGUCGGACAGGGUUUGCACGGCUGUGAGACCCGUCAAGCUCCCAAGCCCAAGCUCUGCGUGUCUUGAUUCGGACACACCAAGUGUGCUUACAAUGAUGAUUCCCUUUUGCACAGAGUUGAUUGCUAUAGGUGCUAGUGCCAGCAGAGAAAAUUUAAAAGUGAGCUUCUGGUGGGGGUGGUUCGUAUUGCCUUGUAAAACAAAGGCAUGGAGUCUUGGAUUAGAAUUUAAGCUUUAAGAGCCCUUCUAAAUGUGCAGAGGGUCUAGGGGGCCCCAGUCUUGGUUCUCAGUGUGCUGUGUGAUCUUGCUUAAGAACAUACUCUCUGGGUCUAAACUGCUCUUUUAUCAAAGGAUGAUACAAUGUGAAAAGUCGCUUCUGAUUGGAAGAAUCCAAGUGGUGAAGACAGUUAAGAGUGGAGAACGGGCCCCCUCAGGAUGCCUCCUUGUGUAAUUUCUAAUUUAGGGGGUUUUUCCCCUGAGGGAGUUCUGUUUUCCUGACUGAUACCUCCUUUCAUUUUACAGAAGAAUAUACUUUACGACAAAGUAAUGAAGAGCUAGGGCGGAGUUCUGGCAAGCGAUGAGCGAGAUCCUCUUUUCAGAUCACACCACGAGAGUCAGAAUCCUUUUUGCCUUUUGACAGGGAUGAGGCAUUUGAUUCUGAUAUGGGAGACUGAGUGAAUACAUGCAAGAAGCAAGAUUCUCCCUGAAACUCAAACCCUCCAUGAUCCUGGAAUCCAG